rnacentral:rRNA from 1 species
AUUGAACGCUGGCGGCAGGCCUAACACAUGCAAGUCGAGCGGAUGAAGGGAGCUUGCUCCUGGAUUCAGCGGCGGACGGGUGAGUAAUGCCUAGGAAUCUGCCUGGUAGUGGGGGCUAACGUCCGGACACGGGCGCUAAUACCGCAUACGUCCUGAGGGCGAAAGUGUGGGAUCUUCGGACCUCACGCUAUCAGAUGCGCCUAGGUCGGAUUCGCUAGUUGGUGGGGUAACGGCCUACCAAGGCGACGAUCCGUAACUGGUCUGAGAGGAUGAUCAGUCACACUGGAACUGAGACACGGUCCAGACUCCUACGGGAGGAAGCAGUGGGGAAUAUUGGACAAUGGGCGAAAGCCUGAUCCAGCCAUGCCGCGUGUGGGAAGAAGGUCUUCGGAUUGUAAAGCACUUUAAGUUGGGAGGAAGGGAAGUAAGUUAAGACCUUGCUGUUUUGACGGUACCAAAAGAAGAAGCACCGGCUAACUUCGUG